GUGUUAUUAUAAUAUCAUAAUGAUUCCAACUAAAUAGCAGCUAUUUGUAAAUGGUUAAGACUAUAACUCCUUUGUGUUAUUAUAAUAUCAUAAUGAUUCCAACUAAAUAACAGCUAUUUUUAGUCGGACCCUUUUUUUUACAGCAUAUAAACACAUAACAUAUUGUAAGUAUUAUAAUAAGAUAUUAUCCAGAUCAUCUGACAUAAAAAGAAAAUGGGACAGUUUGAUGAAAAAGCUUUAAAUAAAGUUUAAAAUCCAGGCAUGUCACAUGACUACGCAAAACAGCGCCCUAGGGCUCAUUAUUCUUAUAACAAGUAAUGAAGCAUUAUACCCACUGGCUGUAAGCAGUGUUACCGUUCAUGGUUUACACACACAUGAUAUGUUGGUUAACAAAGUACCUGAUAAUGGUUUAUUAGCGUGUAUAAACAGACCUUCACAUGAAUAGUUUAUCAGAUCAAUUGAAGAAAUGUUGGGAAUGACCAAAAAAUGUUAUCAGAAAGAUUUGAAUAAGGGCAAUUCAGACUGGUUGAUAAUCUAAACCAGACUUGUUUCUAUGAUAAAGGAUGUGGUUUGAGAUCAACUUGCAACAGAUAUAACAGUGGUUCAGAUCACGAAUAGAAGGAGUGCUUAUACUGUGCAAGAUAGUGGCUAUAUUGUACAGAAGGGUUAUUCUUUGGGAUAGCCAUAGGAGAAUGCGCCUGUGUAGAUGAAUCCAAAGAUAAAGCCUAUCAUAGAUUAUCUAUUAAUCACAAUAAUUACACAUUCCCCUCUCAGGGUUAAACCUGAGAGACUGGAGAGAGUUGGUUGGUGUGCCUGUGUUCAUUUUUCUGUCUGUGUGUUUGUGUCUGUAUGUGUGCCUGUGUUCAUUUUUCUGUCUGUGUGUUUGUGUCUGUAUGUGUGCCUGUGUUCAUUUUUCUGUCUGUGUGUUUGUGUCUGUAUGUGUGCCUGUGUUAAUUUUUCUGUCUGUGUGUUUGUGUCUCAUGCUGUGGCUGUGAGGCUGAGCGAGACACAAUCCAACAAUGGAGCUGUAGCCAGACAGCUCUGUCUCUCUGCACUGCAACGCUUCAGAUCGGGGCGAGACGCCUCAGCGCUGCUGUUUG
rnacentral:lncRNA from 1 species